GAGAAAAAAGAAAAAAAAAAAGAGAAAAUUGAAUAGAUGGACCGGUGAACAGACUGAAAUACAACUGAAAUUACUUCAUUUUCUCCUAUAAGUCAAACUAUGAAUCACUUUAUAGUCCAUAAACUAAGCAGGCGGAGAGACUUGUGUUCCUGAAGAGCGAGGUUGGCCCAGUUGAGCUUGGCUUAGUGUAAUGGCUCCGUUCUCCUCUUGAUGGCGCUGCUUAGCUUACUGGGGGUGGAUCGCUGCAGCACUUGUAGGUGCAUAUGCGCAUGCGUGGGACUGGUGAAAAUGGUGUCACCCAGCCACCCAUUGUCGAGUAUUGGAACUUUGUUCUCCAAGAUCAGCAAUCGCACACCUUUCCUUUGUCUUCGGCUUCCAUCUUCUCUCCACUUUUACACAGUCCGUGACCAAGCCCCAGGCAGUACCUCCCUCCUGAGUUUUGUCUCAGAUGCGGCUGUGUUUCCGACCCCUCACUUCUGAGGGACUGCCGCUUUGACCUGUUCUGCCCCUCUGCUGGAGGGUCUCACCGAGCAAUGGUCGGGUGCCGGCCGCACCCAGGAACAUUCGCGGGACCUGCUGCUGCUGCUGCUCAGAGACUGCGGCCGGGUGCCAGCCCCCCCCAGAAAAAGUUCCCGAGAUCGUGUAGCAGCAGCGUUUCCGGGAUUAUUGAAAACCACAACACACACCUGGUGCCAGGCUUCACCCUUAACGACCUCGUUCCAGCGCCAGCGAACGUGAUUGUUCUCCCGGGUCCGCUGGGGCCUUGCCUUUGGGGGACCCACACAGCCCCUACCUGAUGUCCUCCCAGCAGGGGAACUGCCUCUCUCCGUGUGGCCCGAAGAACCCUGGACUCCGCUCUGCUCCUGGGGAUUCGCCCUUCCCACCAGAGCACCACCAGAACUUCUGGUGCUGGUGGCCACCUGGGAUCUACCUCUAAGUUCCUGCUGCCAGACUGGCCCAUGGAACAUUCUCCCUGUGAUGGCUGUCCUGGCUGCCCAACUAGAAGAAAGCAGGUCUAUGGGAAGUCAGAGGCUGUGUUUUUUCGCCUGGAUCUCAUCUCACACGGUGCCGGGCACACGAGGAGUAUUGAGUGCCUGUAUGCUAAAUAGAUGAGUGCCUCGAAACCACCACCCUCUCAAUCACUUUACAGAGGAAGAAGCUGGAGUCCACAGAGCUUCUUCCAAUCCAGGCUGAGAAAGGGGCCCGUGAAGUGCUGCUGGGAUGAGGACCUGGGUCUCGUUCAAGAGCAAGGGCACACACGUCCCUGGGUCUGCGCCUAACACUACUGCGUAUGGCUCCAGGCCAAAUCUCCAAAUGAAAUCAGGCCGGGGAGAAAUGAACAACCGAGAUGCACAAAACAAUGUGAAGAAGAAACGAAUAAUAAUAUAAAAAAAAAAGGUGAGAGUUAUUUUUCAGCUCACUGGCUUUCUGAAAAGUAAUAUAAAGUUGAGCAGCGUCUUCUUGGAAUCGACCUUUCUGAGCCGAGACCCAGGCCACACGCACAUCUCUUUCCUCUCUUUCUAUUACCCGAAAUUUGUAUGGUUUCAUCUCCUCUGAUAUUCUUUCCCUUUGUGCGCCUGUGCAAACCCCUUGUGUCAGGGGCUUGUUCCUAACCCUGCAGCCCUGCCAUGCCAGAAUGUGUCUCCCAGGCUCCCUGCAGGGCUGAGAAUUGAGAGCCUCCUCUACAGCUCCCCCACCAAAGUUGAGGCCUUGGCCCCCACCCAGCUCUGUCCUCCUCCCUGCCCAGAAGAGGCUGCAGCCU